rnacentral:snoRNA from 1 species
AUGACGAUGUGGUUCUACAAUGAAAAUGUGAAGACGCCCCUACCCAGCUGA